AUUGUAAUUUUGUAUUUUCUAAUAAAAAAAAUCUGUUCUCAUCAGUUUAUUUUCUGAUACGUCCCCCAUUGGGGGACCACAUAUUAAAUGGAUUUUUGGAACAGGGAACCAGAUCAGGAGCUUGCUUCGUCCUCUUCACGCAUCGGCCCGGUAUUGCAGUGCCUCCAGGAACAGUGCACUAUCU
rfam:Lepisosteus oculatus unplaced genomic scaffold TNK7, whole genome shotgun sequence.